rnacentral:rRNA from 1 species
GACGAACGCUGGCGGCGUGCUUAACGCAUGCAAGUCGAGCGGUAAGGCCCUUUCGGGGGUACACGAGCGGCGAACGGGUGAGUAACACGUGGGUGACCUGCCCUCAGCUCUGGGAUAAGCCCGGGAAACUGGGUCUAAUACCGGAUAUGACUCCAUGACGCAUGUUGUGGGGUGGAAAGCCUUGUGCGGCUGAGGAUGGGCCCGCGGCCUAUCAGCUUGUUGGUGGGGUGAUGGCCACCAAGGCGACGACGGGUAGCCGGCCUGAGAGGGCGACCGGCCACACUGGGACUGAGAUACGGCCCAGACUCCUACGGGAGGCAGCAGUGGGGAAUCUUGCGCAAUGGGCGAAAGCCCUGACGCAGCGACGCCGCGUGAGGGAUGACGGCCU